rnacentral:rRNA from 1 species
AUUAACGCUAGCGGCAGGCAUAAUACACGCAAGUUGAACGGCAGCACAGGUAGCAAUACUGGGUGGCGAGUGGCGCACGGGUGCGUAACACGUAUGCAACCUACCCUAUACAGGCGAAUAACCUUUAGAAAUGAGGGCUAAUACGCCGUAGUAUUACAGAUGGGCAUCUAUUUGUAAUUAAAGAUUUAUCGGUAUAGGAUGGGCAUGCGUCCCAUUAGUUAGUUGGUAAGGUAACGGCUUACCAAGACGAUGAUGGGUAGGGG